rnacentral:rRNA from 1 species
AUUGAACGCUGGCGGCAGGCCUAACACAUGCAAGUCGAACGAGUGGCGGACGUGUGAGUAAUGUCUGGGAAACUGCCUGCUGGAGGGGGAUAACUACUGGAAACGGUAGCUAAUACCGCAUACCAUCAGAUGUGCCCAGAUGUGAUUAGCUUGUUGGUUGGGUAACGGCUCACCAAGGCGACGAACCGUAACUGGUCUGAGAGGAUGAUCAGGCACACUGGAACUGAGAAACGGUCCAGAAUCCUACGGGAGGCAGCAGUGGGGAAGAUUGGACAAGGAGCGAAAGCCUGAUCAAGCCAUGCCGGGUGUGUGAGGAAGGGCUUGGGAUGGUAAAGCACGUUAAGUUGGGAGGCGUUACCAACAGAAUAAGCACCGGCUAACUUCGUGCCAGCAGCCGCGGUAAUAC